GAUCAUGGCUCAGGAUGAACGCUAGCUACAGGCUUAACACAUGCAAGUCGAGGGGCAGCAUGGUCUUAGCUUGCUAAGGCCGAUGGCGACCGGCGCACGGGUGAGUAACACGUAUCAACCUGCCUCUACUCUUGGACAGCCUUCUGAAAGGAAGAUUAAUACAAGAUGGCAUCAUGNGUUCACAUGUUCACAUGAUUAAAGGUAUUCCGGUAGACGAUGGGG
rnacentral:rRNA from 1 species